AGAUAAGAGGUGACUUUUAGUUAUGGUCAUGACUAAUUGGCACCUUGCUAUUUUUUUUCACCCAACCUUUCUUACCCAACCAAUUUCCAAAAUAAGAGAUAGUAUUUAGCGGUGACAUGACUAAAUACUACAUAUCACACUACCUCUUCCCUAUCCAAUUUUUACCCUAAAUCCCAAAAUGAAAAAAAAUAAAAUAAAACAAAACUCCUGAUCUCUCUCUCUCUUUCCCUCACUCUCUCGCUCAGACCUCCCCCUUCUUCCCCCCUCCGCCGAACCAGACUCCUUUGUCGCCUUCUCCAGCCAGCCGACGCCAGACCACCUCAGGCGCGCCUCCGGCACGCCUUCGCCGAUCUUCUUCUUCUCCCUCUUCUACCGUCCGCCUCCCUUCCCUCUUUCCAGACGCGAUUCACCCUCCGCCAAACAAGAUCAGUCGGAUGCCGCGGAGCCAGCCGCGAUCAUCUUCUACUCCAUGACGAUCCUCCUCCGCGAUCCUCUCUCUGCCCAGAAGAGAACGCCAGCUCCCCUCCAGAAGCCGCCGGUUCCCUUCCCCCCUUUCCGCCGCGCCAGACGUCGCCCCGCCGGUUCUCCUACCGGACAUCUCCGAACCGGUUCAUUCGUAGUAUUACUUCUUUCCUUAUUCCUAAUACUGUCAAUUUUGGGAUUCUAUGUUGAGAAUUGGGUGAUUACUUAGACUGCUCAUUAAAACUUCCUGGUUGAAUUUUAGUCCGUACUAUAUAGGAAUUUGGUUUUGAUAUUGAUGUCCAAUUUUUCUUACAUGAUGAUAAUAUUGGGGUGAUAGAAUUAAUUUGUGCAAUUUGAUUCUGAUUCUUUUGGAUAGAAUAUUACAUUCAUGUUCUUGGGCUCUGGAACUGAUCUUCUCUAAGUGAUACAUCUCAAUACUUUCCGAAUUUGGGUGUUUAGAUAUUGCCUUGAUUUGGUUCUAGGCUACUGUGUUGCCGGUUAUUUCGUUUUGCAGAUUUCAUGUUGCGUCUGGCUAAUCGUUUUGCAAUGAUGAACUUCAAGCCUCUCUAAAAAUGAUGCACGAUCAAAUGAAGAGGCAUUGGCAAAGCUACCAACUACUACACCCCCUACGGACUCCAGGGAAGUCCUUCUGCUUUCUUUACAUUGAGGACAAUGUAUGCUUUAGGGAAGAAAAGACAAAUUUGGUGAAUUUGGAGAAAAAUAAAAGAAAAAAAUCAGCAUUGGACAAUCAAGUUAGUCAUGACAAUAACUACACCCUCUUGACAUGAGAAUUUAAUUAAAGGCCCAAAAGCCCAACUGCAAAAUAAUUAGGGCAAAAAUUAAAUAAAAAUGGAAGAUCACACGCAGAAGAGGAGAGAACGGCCAGAGCAUAUACGCACAAGAGCAGGAGCAGGAGACUGACAGAAUCAUAGAUUGCGCAGGAGCAAAUCAACAGAGAAGAUUUCCUCCCACUAUGACUUUAUCUUUCUCUAUUGUUCUUUGUUAUUUGAUUAUAGAGUAGAUAUUUUUCUGGUUUGAGAGAUGAUAAUGUUUUGGUUCUUUUGUUUUGGAGAUUCUUAAUUUUGUUUAUAAAAGUUAUUUUUUAUUAUCAA